rnacentral:rRNA from 1 species
UACAGAGGUGGCAAGCGUUGUUCGGAAUUAUUGGGCGUAAAGAGCUCGUAGGCGGCUUGUCGCGUCGACUGUGAAAACCCGUGGCUCAACCAUGUGGUCUGCAGUCGAUACGGGCAGGCUAGAAUUCGGUAGGGGAGACUGGAAUUCCUGGUGUAGCGGUGAAAUGCGCAGAUAUCAGGAGGAACACCGGUGGCGAAGGCGGGUCUCUGGGCCGAUAUUGACGCUGAGGAGCGAAAGCGUGGGGAGCGAACAGG